rnacentral:siRNA from 1 species
AAAUUACACUUGGACAUGUCUCG